rnacentral:lncRNA from 1 species
UCUCCUCUUAUUUUAUUUUUUCUCUUUUUUUUUUCUUCUCUUUUUCUUCUUUUCUAUGUUCUUCUUCGUUCUUCUCACUCCAUAUCCACCACCAAACAAACUAUUCCAGUCACCCACGACCAGAGCCUUCAAAUUCCGGCCACCCAUGGCUAGAUCUGUCAAAUUCCGGUCACCGCCAGUCUACUCUACCCAGAUCCGGCCACCUCCAGCGAAUUCCGCCAAUAUCGCGCCGCCAACAGCCACCAACAAAAUGUUUAAGAUGAAAAUCGGGGUCAUUAACAGGUUUCCGUGUUCGCCGAUUUUGGCCGGUCGAACCCGGUUUUUGACAUUUGGAUCGGGUUCUUGAAUUUGCCGAUUUUGAGCAUCAGAUCGGACCAUUUUUCUUGUGGGUAGCGGUCGGACCGGCCGAUCCGGUACGCUUCUUACAACAUUGGUAUUAGUACAUAUAUUAGUAUUAACGUAAGUAUUAGUAUCCAGAUCAAUAUUAUUAUCGGUAUCAAGAUCAGUAUAAGUAUAAGUAUAAGUAUAAGUAUAAGUAUAUAAGUAUAAGUAUAAGUAUAAGUAUAAGUAUAAGUAUAAGUAUAAGUAUAAGUAUAAGUAUCAGUAUCAGUACCACAAUAUGUAUCAGUACCAAUAUCAGUACCGGUAUCGGUAUCGGUAUAUGUAUAUGUAUAUGUAUCAUUAGCAUUAGAUCAUUAGCCAUAAAAUUAGUUUUAUCAUUUAUAUUAGUAUUAGUAAUAGUAUUAGUAUCAAUAUUAGUAUUAAUAUUACUAUUAGUAAUAGUAUUAGUAUUAAUACUUAUAUUAGUAUUAAUAUCAGUAUAAGUAUCUGUAUCAGUAUUAGUAUCGAUAUCAGUACCAAUAUUAGUAUAAGUAUUAGUAUCGGUAUUAGUAUCAGAAUCAGUAUAUGUAUCAGUAUCGGUAUCAGUUUUCAGUAUCUAUAUCAGUAUGAGUAUCAAUAUUAGUAUCAAUUUCAGUAUCAAUAUCAGUAUCAAUAUCAAUAUUAAUAUUAGUAUUAGUAUUUCUAGUAUAAUAUUAGUAUCAGUAUUACUAUUUUUAUCAGUAUGAGUAACAAUAUUACUAUCAGUAUUAGUAUGAGUAUCAGUAUUAGUAAUAAUAUUAAUAUCAGUAUUAGUAUGAAUAUCAGAAUUAGUAAUAGUAUUAUUAGUAAUAUUAAUAUUACUAUGAGUAUCAAUAUGACUAUCAACAUCAGUAUCAGUAUUAACAUCAAUAUCAAUCAAUAUCAAUAUCAGUGUCAUUCAGUAUCAAUAUCACUAUCAGUAUCAGCAUCACUAUCACUAUCACUAUCACUAUCACUAUCACUAUCACUAUCACUAUCACUAUCACUAUCACUAUCAAUAUCGGUAUCGGUAUCGGUAUCAGUAUUAGUA